rnacentral:rRNA from 1 species
GCAGUCGAGCGGCAGCGCGGGGGCAACCCUGGCGGCGAGCGGCGAACGGGUGAGUAAUACAUCGGAACGUGCCCAGUAGUGGGGGAUAACCAGUCGAAAGAUUGGCUAAUACCGCGUACGACCUACGGGUGAAAGCGGGGGACCGCAAGGCCUCGCGCUAUUGGAGCGGCCGAUGUCGGAUUAGCUAGUUGGCGGGGUAAUGGCCCACCAAGGCGACGAUCCGUAGCUGGUCUGAGAGGACGACCAGCCACACUGGAACUGAGAC